rnacentral:rRNA from 1 species
AGAGUUUGAUCCUGGCUCAGGACGAACGCUGGCGGCGUGCCUAAUACAUGCAAGUCGAGCGGACUUGUUGGAGCUUGCUCCUUCAAGUUAGCGGCGGACGGGUGAGUAACACGUGGGCAACCUGCCUGUAAGACUGGGAUAACUUCGGGAAACCGGAGCUAAUACCGGAUGACACCAAAGAACUCCUGUUCCUUGGUUGA